UGGCGGCAGGCCUAACACAUGCAAGUCGAGCGGUAACAGGGGAAGCUUGCUUCCCGCUGACGAGCGGCGGACGGGUGAGUAAUGUAUGGGGAUCUGCCCGAUAGAGGGGGAUAACCACUGGAAACGGUGGCUAAUACCGCAUAAUCUCUUAGGAGCAAAGCAGGGAAACUUCGGUCCUUGCGCUAUCGGAUGAACCCAUAUGGGAUUAGCUAGUAGGUGGGGUAAUGGCUCACCUAGGCGACGAUCCCUAGCUGGUCUGAGAGGAUGAUCAGCCACACUGGGACUGAGACACGGCCCAGACUCCUACGGGAGGCAGCAGUGGGGAAUAUUGCACAAUGGGCGCAAGCCUGAUGCAGCCAUGCCGCGUGUAUGAAGAAGGCCCUAGGGUUGUAAAGUACUUUCAGUCGGGAGGAAGGCGUUGAUGCUAAUAUCAUCAACGAUUGACGUUACCGACAGAAGAAGCACCGGCUAACUCCGUGCCAGCAGCCGCGGUAAUACCG
rnacentral:rRNA from 1 species